CGUUAGAUCACCGAAGUCAAGCAUCAUUGGGCGCGGUCAGUACUUGGGUGGGUGACCACCUGGGAACACCGUCUGCCGU
rnacentral:rRNA from 1 species